rnacentral:lncRNA from 1 species
ACUUUUAGUAUUUUGUAUAUUAUAACUUUGGUAUGUCAGGAAUUCAGGACUCAAGGUUAUUAUUUAUGAAGAGUAACAAUUUAAUUAUAUAUAGAUCUUACAAUUGAUAAGUUUUUCUUUAGCAUGACAACAAAGAAGCAGCAGAGACAAACUAGUGCUAGAUAGAUACAACAAGUCCCACUAAUUGUAAAGGAUAUGCUUUGAGCCAAAAUUGCAUUGCCAUAUAGUAUGCAAACAAGGGAAACAACGAAUCCUGAAACUCUCGCAUUAUGAUGUUUCCUGUCUUCAAUAUACAAUGGUUUUUCUUCUUUCUUAAAAUGAAGAAAAAAUAACAUAUCUUCUUAUUUUAGCAUAAAAAAUAUAAUAUUUUUCUUGCUUGUAUUGCGAUCCCAUUCCUAUAUUUCUCUGCACAACUAUGACAAGAGACCAGAAAGUAGUAUGCUUAUGCAUUGCGUUUUUUUAGAGUGACACUAGUAACUGCUAACUUGAUAGGUUGAGUGCUUGUCUGAAUUUGGUUUGUUUUGUUUUUCUUAUCUGAACAAGCAUUUGGUUUUGGCUUUGUACAACACUAUUUCCUGACUGUCGACCGAUACAUGAAAUUCUGUGGCUGAUACAGAAAUAUCAUAAUUUUUCAGUAUGCGAAAUUUGUUAAGCCUGCCUUCGAUGAUUUUAUUCUUCCAUCCAAAAAGUAUGCUGACAUAAUCAUACCUCGUGGGGGAGAUAAUUGUGUAGCAAUUGACUUGAUCGUUCAACAUAUCCGCACUAAGCUUGGCCAACAUAACCUCUGUAAGAUAUAUCCAAAUUUGCACGAGAUACCGUCUACUUUCCAGGUGAUUUUCGUAUUACGGCAUUUCCUCCUCCAAAACUGUCUGUUUUAUUUUUUUUGCUCCAAGGAGAAUUUAUCAUGCUAACUUCUAAAGUUUGAGCUUUCUUACAGACUAGAGGCAUGCACACUCUUAUUCGGGAUACGGAAAUAUCCAAGCAUGACUUUAUUUUUUAUUCAGAUCGGCUAAUUCGUUUGGUAGGUCAUGCUUUAUACAAUGUGACAGAAUCUAUAGCCUCCACUAACAAACUAAUAUUAACAGGUAGUGGAACAUGGUCUUGGUUACUUGCCAUUUACAGAAAAACAAGUUAUCACACCUACAGGUCUGUCUAAGGAAGAGGAAACAUCAUUCAAUCGUUUAAAUUUAUCACCGUGAGAGAAAGACGGCUAAAAUCUAUUUUUUUGCCACAUUUCAGGAUCAAUUUAUAUUGGAGUUGAUUUUUGUAAGAAAUUGUGUGGAGUAUCUGUUAUUCGAAGGUAUUUUUUCUAUUCCAAAAGGUUAAUUAGCACUGUCAUUCUUCAUAGACUUUUAUCUCCUUAAUCAAUUCUCAUUUAUUUUUAUGAUAUUGGAUCUACCAAAUGUUCUAAUCUCAUCGUUAAAUUGGGAAGAAACUUGUUAGAAUUAUCAAGUAACCAUUAUCCAUUUUAGAGGUUUUAACUCCAAUUCCAACUUAGUUAACAUCUGAUAACCAUUUUAUUCUGUUUGAAACCAGUUUUGCAUAUGAUACAUGUAUAUAUUUGUCUCCUAAUUUUUUUACAAGCAUUCUGUUGCGUGGACCGUGGAUUGUGCAUUCAAGUGAUUUCUCAGAAUUUGGAUGCCAUAUUGUUUAUGUAUAUUUCUUCAGUUGUUUUAUUCAUUAAAAAAAGCAAUUCUAUAACACCAUAAUUUACAGUGGUGAAAGCAUGGAAAAUGCUUUGCGUGCAUGUUGUAAAGGAAUAAAAAUAGGAAAAAUUCUCAUCCACCGUGGAGGUGAUGAAACCCAGGUAACCAGUUUCCAUUUUUUACUCUGUUUGUUCUUUCUUGAAUUUGUUAGUUUCUGUGUAAGAUGAAAUGAUACAAUACAAGUCUUGAAAUGUAACUUAACACAACCACAAUGUUUUCUUUCUAUAAGCUUAUUUAUGAGAAGCUCCCUAAAGACAUUUCAGAGAGACAUGUUCUUCUCAUGGACCCAGUACUUGGCACAGGUCAGUUAUCAGAAGUCACAACUUUUUAUUCACCAUAAGAUGUUUUUUUAGCAUUGUCUCACUAUAUACACAACAAAUUAACUUUGAGUAACAAUAAUACAUUAUAAUUAUAGCUAUAUAAGAUUGGAAAAUAUUAACGUCAUGCACCUUAUUAUAUUGAAUUGUUCAGGUAACUCUGCCAGUCAAGCAAUAGAGCUUCUUAUUAAAAAAGGAGUUCCAGAGUCCCGGAUAAUAUUCCUUAACCUUGUCUCUGUAAGUUAUUCAAUUAAAUAGUAAAAGCCUAAUAAUGUUCAAUGAAUAUCAAUAUAAUAAAUUUCAAAACUGAUUUUCAGGCGCCCGAGGGAAUACAUUAUGUAUGUAAACGCUUUCCGCACAUAAAAGUUGUUACUUCGGAGAUUGAAGAAGGACUAAAUGACCAGUUCUGCGUCGUGCCUGGGUUAGGAGAAUUUGGUGACCGGUAUUUUGGUACAGACGACUCCUAGAGGCAAAAACCUUAAACUAUGGAAAACAAUGGAGGAAUGAAAAAGCUCAAAAAAGAUGUUGGGAUUUAUUACUGUGUAUAAUAUUCAUCUAUGCUUAUCAUGAACAACUAUACCUUAUACAUUGAUUAUUCAACUAAUAUAAAAAAUAAAUUAUGUUAUAAAUAUGACUAGAGGGAGGAACUGGCUUAAUUGGAGCCCAUACAUAAGAUUUCUCAUAUCUACACUCCACGUACAUUCCCUCCAUGCUCCACAUUGGUAUGCCUCAAACUAUUACCCCAUUACCCCAUGAGUAUGAACCUCAAAUUACUUCCUCUAAUAGUUGGCUACCCAAGAACUCCCACCUCAUUUUGCUAAUAAUUGGUCGUGUAACAUCCUAAUACUUGUAUGGCAGUGAAAUGAUACACAUUACCUGUGUAAUAAUGACAUAUAAAUAAAUGACAUAUAAGGGCAAGUGCUUGUUGGCGGAGAAAAGAGUGAUGUGGAAUCUCUUGGUCCAAGUGCGUGAGAGGUUCUCAAGUUCUGUUUUGUGUGUUUUGGGUGACUUCAAUUUAGUUCUUUGUCGUGCUGAGAGGAAAGGAGUGGAGUGGGAGUGGGAUCUCAAGGCUAAACCCUAAUGGAAUCCCUUGAGUUUGGGGGCUUUUAUUGAGGCGAUGGGUUGGUGUAUAUGGCUUUGUUGAGUAAGAGGUUUACUUGGUUCCAUUCUAAUGGGGUGUUUAUGAGUAGGUUGGAUUAAGUUCUUUCGUCACUAGGGUGGGAUGAGGAAUGAGGCCAAGAACUUUGUGGGUCUUACCUCAGGAGAUUUUUUAUCAUUGUCCGAUAGUGGUUAAGUAUCCUUCGCAGUUUUGAGGACUGAAGCCUUUCCGAUUCAACAAUUUCUGGUUGAAGAAUUCCAAUUUUGAGACGGUGGGUCUUGAGUCCUGGAAAUGAAGGCUCGAAACGGGUAGAUGGCGUGCAUGCUUAGGGAUAAAUUUAAAGCGCUCAAAGGGGUUCUUAACGUCUAGAAUAUACAAGAGUUUGGUAGUUUGGAUUUAAAAAUUAAGGUUUGUUCGGAUAAGCUUGAGAGUUUGGAGCUUAGGUCGGAGUCUGAGCCUCUUUCUCAAGAGGAGUUGGAUUAUAGAUCGAAUGUUAGUCAAGAGUUGUGGAAACUUAUUUGGUGUGCUGAUUCUAAAAAUUUUCAGAGGUCUAAACUAGCUUGGCCGAAGGAAGAGGAUGUUAAUACUAGGUACUCUCAUGCAUGUGAUAAGUAGAGGUAUAUGAGGACUACUUUGGUUGAUCUCUGUGUGGGUGAUAUUUGGUUGGAAAACGUUUUAGAGGUUAGAGAGGAGAUCUCUAGAUAUUUUAAAGACCAUUUUUCUAAUUUUGGCUGCUAGGUUAGCUAGUGCCAUGGAGAAACUUAUCUCCCUAGAGCAAUAAACUUUUAUUAGGGGGGGGGGGGUUGUUAGUGGAUGAAGUGGUUGUUCUUGAUUAGAUUUUAGAUCUUGCAAAGGUGUCUAAGUGAGAGUGUUGUGUUUAAAGUGGAUUUUGAGAAGGCUUACGACUCAGUUAGUUGGACUUUCGGGGAUUAUAUGUUAAGGAGGCUUGAUUUUGGCGAUAGGUGGAGGGGUUGAAAUCGAGUGUUUUUUUUGGGUAGUCUUGCAGUCUUGAUUAAUGGGUACCAUGAAAUCACUAUUCAAAAGGGUCUUAAGUAAAGAGACCCUCUACCUCCCUUUAUUUUUCUUUUAGUGGUGGGAGGUUUAAGUGCUUCUUUGAAAAAAGGAGUCUCAGCGUGUAUUUUUUAGGGUAUUAAGGUGGGCACGAAUGGGUUAGAGGUGUCUCAUCUCUAAUAUGCUGAUGAUAUAGUAUUGGUAGGGGUUUUGUCGAUGUAUAACCUUUUGACCAUUAAGGUGAUUCUCAUAAGUUUUGAGCUUGCCUUUGGGUUUAAAGUGAAUUUUGCUAAGAGUUGUUUUUUGUGUUAAUGUGGGGAGGCCUUUUCUGAAGCGGGCUGAGAAUUUUCUACACUAUAAGGUGGGUUAUUUUCCUUUUAAAUAUUUAGGGAUCCUAAUGGGUGCAAACCAGAAGAAGGACGAGACUUGGGAUCCUCUAAUAUAGCUUGUCUCUAAGAGAUUAACUUACUAGAGAAAUAUAUAUUUUUAUCUUUAGGUGGUAUGUUGGACCUGCCGAACACGGUUUUGAAUUUAAUCCCAGUAUUCUUUUUAUCACUCAUGAAGAUGUCGACUUUGCUCAUGAAGAAACUGAUGGGUAUGAAAAGGAGGUUUCUCUUGUGGUUCCAAAUGAGGAUCAAAGAUUGUGUGGGUUAAGUGGGAGGAAGUUUGUAAAGCUAAAAGGAUAUGUGGUUAAGUGGGAGGAAAACUUAGGAUGGUGUCUCAUUGAUGGAUAGGUGUUUCCCUUCUCGAGUCUUCUCCUAAUCAGAAGCUGAAUUGGGUUUCCUCGUCUUACGUUAAUAUGGUUGGGGAUGGUCAGAAGACUAGGUUUUGGCAUGAAGUUUGGGUGGUGACUUCUCCUCUGUGUGUCUCUUUUGAGAGGUUGUUCCUUAUCUUGGAACAAAAAACUCAAGUUGUGGGUUCUAUGGGUUCAUGGGUGGAGGAUGCUUGGGUUUGAAAUUUUAAGUGGAGGUGGCCUUUUCGAGUUUGGGAGGAUGAGAUUUUAGAGGAUUUUCUUGUCCUUAUUACGGGAAUGAUUAGAGGUGGACAGGUGGAUUCUUGGGUAUGGAAACUCGAUAUAAAUACAGGAUUUUUAGUUAUAUGAACUUAUGAUAACCUUUUGGUUUUGGUUGGGUAACAAGGCUAGGUCUGAGAGGGUGUUGCGGGGGGGAUUUCUAGGAUUUGGACAAGUUGGAUGCCUUCUAAAGUUGUAGUGUUUUUGUGGGAGUUACUUCAAAAUAGGUUGCCUACUAGGAAACAUCUCCCGAGGCGUUGUAUUGUGUUUGGGUUCAAUAGUGCGAGAUGUGUGUUUUGCAUAGGGUACGUGGAGUCGGUUGAUCGUCUCUUUGUAGGUUGCUUCAAUUUUUAGUAUAGAGUUUGUAAGUGAGUGGGGCGGUCAAGGUCACUUCAUCAUUCGAUUUUAGGGGUGUUUAAGUUGUUUCAAGGUCUAGGUCAUAGGAAGAAGAGGUAUCUAGCUCUGGUAUUGAUCUCGCAUUCUGCGGUCUGAACUAUGUGGAAAAUGCGUAACAAAGUUAUUUUUUUCUGAAAUCUUGACGAUUGAUCAUUGGAUUGAAGGUGUGAAAAACACAAGAAAUUGGGGGUUUGAACUGGGUUUUACAAGCAAAAUCUUUUUCCAAAAUAAGAACACCACUAACAAGUUGAUAACAAAGAGAUAAAAACACAAGUAUUUUUAUUUUGGUUCACUUGAAACUCAAAGCUAAUCCAGUUCACCCGCCAAUGUGCUUUUGCCUUAUACAUAAAGACUUAAUCCACUAUAAUCAACAGAUUACAACAAACACAAAGAAUAACCUUAUUUUUCUUCUCAAGGAUCCAACUAAACCUUAGCCUCCUUAAGGACUCACAAAGAACAACCUUCUUUAUCUUCUUAAGGAUAACCUCCUUAAGGAAUCAAACAAAGAGUUUGAAUAAUAUUUUGUGUGUUACAAGAUGCUUUUACACAAGCAUAUUUUACACAAAUGAAUAGCAAACACUUCAAGAAAACUUGUAUACAAAAGAAUGAUAGUUUUUCACAAAGAAAAUAACUUGUCAAAAUAUUGCGUAACUGAUGUUUUUCUUCAAGUCUCCAAGUCAUACUUAUAUAGCAUAAGCAUAAGACCGUUGGAGGGAAAAAUGGGGAAAUCUCAUUUGAGCGUCUGUCCACUGUUGGAUGGGAAAGGAAUGAUAUUGCAUACUAUCUUUUCGCCCAUAUAAUCAAUGACAGGUGUGAUGUAUACUAUUGUCCUUGCCCAUGAAAUCAGGUAGUGGAAAGGUUGUUCGUUAUGUAUCAUGCACUAUUUGAUCACGUUCCCAUUUUAGUCUUAUCUUCAAAUUCAUUGGCUUCUGAUGAAAGUUGAUGAAGCAUGAAUUGAAGAAAUAAAGCGCUGGAUUCAGAAACUUUAGAACCUUUUGUCAGAAUCUUGACAACGUCAGUAGUCUGGAUUGAGAUCUUCAUUUUCUUUAUAAUCUUCAGAGUCUACAGAAUCCUCAGUCAGAACCUUGAUAACUUCAAUUGUCUGGCUUGAGAUCUUCAGAAUCUUCAGCUUCAUAACACAACUUCAGAAGCUUGUCAUUCUUCAAAAGUUUGGUGAUCAGAGUCACGUCCAGAAGCAAGAACUGAGAGAACAUUACAACAGUAACAUAGUGUCUCCUUAGAAGCUUCUGAUGAGUAAAACAGCUCAGAAGCAUAAAGAAUGUUGCAACAACAAUAUUGAUGUCUUUCAGAACUUCUAAUAAUUGGCGCAGAAGCAGAUUCAUAACACAUAGUUCAGAAAUUGAUGAUGUUGCACAUCAUAUAUUUAGAAUCUGAACUGGUUGUUAAAGCUACACAAUAACAAACCAUUAGGGUACCAAAAUUGUUCUCACACAAAUAUAAUAUUGUUAUCAUCAAAACUCAAGGUAUAGAUGCAUAACCAAUCUUUUCUACAUGGAUGACUGCGAUUAUUAGCAUGCUGUGAACGGGGUUCAUGCCUAUGCUUCGGUUAUUUUGUUCUCUAGCUGAUUUGGAGUAAACCCUCUUAAGUGGCUUGACAUUUGGGGUGUGUUGGGCAAUUGUCCUUCUUUUUGUGUGUGCCGGUGAUGGUCAUAUCUACCUUCCUUCACCUCGUUCUCUCUAGAGGUAUGGUACUUUAAAGUUUUCAAGAUAUAUUUGAUGGGUGGGUGGUUGGGAUUUUUCUUGUUGAGUUGUUGUUGUUGUUUUUUUUUUCUUUUUUUUUUUCUGGUUUGUAGCUCUUGAGCAUUGUUGUUGCUUUUUUCCUUUUUGUUUUUUCCCUAUAACUCCGAUUUCUUACCUAUUUUAUUAUAUAAUUCUUGCUUUGAUAUUCAAAAAUAAAAAGACAUGUUUAAAUGAGUUGUAUUUUUUAAAUUUGUUUUAUAAAUUUAUUUAAAUAAAAUUGUUUUCAAGAAGAAGAAAUAGUUUAUUAAUUUUUUUUAAAAUGCUUUUAAAGAUGAAAACUAAACAAAUUAUUUUUAUAGAUUUAUAUUUUUGAAAAUUAAAAAAGAGGAUAUUUGUUUUAUACGUAUUUUAUUUUCUUAACAAUAACUUUGUUUUAAUAUCUUUUAUUUUAAUGUAGAUAUUAUUCUCCCUCUCUAGAUAAUACAACAGAUCCCACUUAAUUGUUAAGGAUAUGCUUUGAGCCAAAAUUGCAUUGCCAUAUAGUAUGCAAACAAAGGAGAACAACGAAUCCUGAAACUCUCGCAUUAUGAUGUUUCCUGUCUUCAAUACAUUACAAUUGGUUUGUCUUCUCUUCUCUUAAAAUGAAGAAAAUAACAAUACAUCUCUCUUAUUUUAGCAUAAAAAAAUUAAUAUUUCUUGCUUGUUAUUGCGAUCCCAUUCCAUAUAUUUCUCUUGCACAACUAUGACAGAGACCAGAAAGUAGUAUGCUUAUGCAUUGCGUUUUUUUUAGAGUGACACUAGUAACUGCUACUUGAAGGUGAGUGCUUGCUGAAUUUGGUUUGUUUUUUUUCUUAUCUGAACAAGCAUUUGGUUUUUGCUUUACAACACUAUUUCCUGACUGUCGACCGAUACAUGAAAUUCGAUGUGAGCUGUACGAAAUUAUCUAUAUUUUUCAGUAUGCGAAAUUGUUAAGCCUGCCUUCGAUGAUUUUAUUCUUCCAUCCAAAAGUAUGCUGACAUAAUCAUACCUCGUGGGGGAGAUAAUUGUGUAGCAAUUGACUUGAUCGUUCAACAUAUCCGCACUAAGCUUGGCCAACAUAACCUCUGUAAGAUAU